GCGGAUGUAGCCCAGUGGAUCAA
rnacentral:tRNA from 1 species